rnacentral:rRNA from 1 species
AUAUGAAGUCGGACCUGCCCGGUGAAAAUUUUUAACGGCCGCGGUACUCUGACCGUGCAAAGGUAGCAUAAUCAUUUGCCUUAUAAUUGAAGGCUGGAAUGAAUGGUUUGACAAGAAUAUACCUGUCUCUUUAUAAUUUAAUAGAAUUUUAUUUAGGGGUGAAAAAGCCUCAAUUUAAUUAAAAGACAAGAAGACCCUAUCGAGCUUAAAAGAAAUUAAUAAAAUGAAAUAUUAAUGAAUCCAAAAAAUUAAUUAUUAAAUAUUUUGGUUGGGGCAACCGAGGAGUAAAUAAAGCCUCCUUUAAUUAUAUAAAACUAACUAGUAUUGAUCCAGAAUUUUUGAUUAAAGGAAAUAGUUACCGUAGGGAUAACAGCAUUAUCUUUUUUGAGAGCUCCCAUCGAAAAAAAGGUUUGUGACCUCGAUGUGGACCAGAAUAUCCUGAAGAUGCAGAAGUCUUAAGGG